rnacentral:rRNA from 1 species
AUGGGGGGAACCCUGAUCCAGCCAUGCCGCGUGUGUGAAGAAGGCCUUAUGGUUGUAAAGCACUUUAAGCGAGGAGGAGGAGCUCUUAAGUUAAUACCUAAGAUGCAUGUGGACGUUACUCGCAGAAUAAGCACCGGCUAACUCUGUGCCAGCAGCCGCGGUAAUACAGAGGGUGCGAGCGUUAAUCGGAUUUACUGGGCGUAAAGCGUACGUAGGCGGCUUUUUAAGUCGGAUGUGAAAUCCCUGAGCUUAACUUAGGAAUUAGCAUUCGAUACUGGGAAGCUAGAGUAUGGGAGAGGAUGGUAGAAUUCCAGGUGUAGCGGUGAAAUGCGUAGUAGAUCUGGAGGAAUACCGAUGGCGAAGGCAGCCAUCUGGCCUAAUACUGACGCUGAGGUACGANNAGCAUGGGGAGCAAACAGGAUUAGAUACCCUGGUAGUCCAUGCCGUAAACGAUGUCUACUAGCCGUAGGGGCCUUUGANGCUUUAGUGGCGCAGCUAACGCGAUAAGUAGACCGCCUGGGGAGUACNGUCGCAAGACU